rnacentral:rRNA from 1 species
AGUGAACGCUGGCGGUAGGCCUAACACAUGCAAGUCGAACGGCAGCACAGUAAGAGCUUGCUCUUACGGGUGGCGAGUGGCGGACGGGUGAGGAAUACAUCGGAAUCUACUUUUUCGUGGGGGAUAACGUAGGGAAACUUAUGCUAAUACCGCAUACGACCUACGGGUGAAAGCAGGGGAUCUUCGGACCUUGCGCGAUUGUAUGAGCCGAUGUCGGAUUAGCUAGUUGGCGGGGUAAAGGCCCACCAAGGCGACGAUCCGUAGCUGGUCUGAGAGGAUGAUCAGACACACUGGAACUGAGACACGGUCCAGACUCAUACGGGAGGCAGCAGUGGGGAAUAUUGGACAAUGGGCGCAAGCCUGAACCAGACAUACCGCGUGGGUGAAGAAGGCCUUCGGGUUGUAAAGCCCUUUUGUUGGGAAAGAAAAGCAGCAGGUUAAUAACCCGCUGUUCUGACGGUACCCAAAGAAUAAGCACCGGCUAACUUCGUG